GUGGGGAAUCUUGCGCAAUGGGCGAAAGCCUGACGCAGCCAUGCCGCGUGAAUGAUGAAGGUCUUAGGAUUGUAAAAUUCUUUCACCGGGGACGAUAAUGACGGUACCCGGAGAAGAAGCUCCGGCUAACUUCGUGCCAGCAGCCGCGGUAAUACGAAGGGGGCUAGCGUUGCUCGGAAUUACUGGGCGUAAAGGGCGCGUAGGCGGACAGCUUAGUCAGAGGUGAAAGCCCAGGGCUCAACCUUGGAAUUGCCUUUGAUACUGGCUGUCUUGAGUGUGGGAGAGGUGAGUGGAACUCCGAGUGUAGAGGUGAAAUUCGUAGAUAUUCGGAAGAACACCAGUGGCGAAGGCGACUCACUGGCCCAAUACUGACGCUGAGGCGCGAAAGCGUGGGGAGCAAACAGGAUUAGAUACCCCCGGUAGUCC
rnacentral:rRNA from 1 species